rnacentral:ncRNA from 2 species
GCGGGGGACCCAUCCUCGGGCGCACCAGCGUCCUCGGGGUGAAGCCGGCGUCCCAUGCGGGCCCGGCCGGGUGUUCUCCCACCCGAACCCGACAGCUCACCUCGC